rnacentral:rRNA from 1 species
CAGCAGCCGCGGUAAGACAGAGGAUGCAAGCGUUAUCCGGAAUUAUUGGGCGUAAAGGGCUCGCAGGCGGUUUCUUAAGUCUGAUGUGAAAGCCCCCGGCUCAACCGGGGAGGGUCAUUGGAAACUGGGAAACUUGAGUGCAGAAGAGGAGAGUGGAAUUCCACGUGUAGCGGUGAAAUGCGUAGAGAUGUGGAGGAACACCAGUGGCGAAGGCGACUCUCUGGUCUGUAACUGACGCUGAGGAGCGAGAGCGUGGGGAGCGAACAGGAUUAGAUACCCCGGUAGUCCCUGUCUCUUAUAC